rnacentral:lncRNA from 1 species
UUUAGUUCAUCCACUAAUGGUCGAAGGUACACAUUAAGGUCUUUUGUAGGACUUUUAUCCCCCGGAAUGAGUAAAGUCAAAAACAAAUACGGAUCCCUCAUGCACAUUAUCGGUGGAAGAUUAUAAGCAACCAUAAUGACUGGCCAAAUUGAGUACGGCUGGCUAAAAUUAUUAAAAGGGCAAAAGCCAUCAGUAGCCAUGCCAAACCUAACAUUCCUAACUUCUUCCGCAAACUCAUGAUAAUUUACAUCAAAUCUCUUCCAUUCAUCUCCAUUCGAUGGGUGAGUCAGCUGACCAGGCACGACAUCCCUUGUUCGAUGCUAACUCAUAUGUUGAGCCGUAUGAGAUGACAUGAAUAGCCGCUGAAGUCUCGGCGCAAGUGGAAAGUACCGUAAGAUUUUCCUGGGAACAUGUUUCUCCUUCCCCCACGUUUUGUAACCUUGUAGUGCGAUAAGCUGCAUAUAUCACACUGUCCCUUAUCUCUGUCCUCCCCAUAGUAUAACAUGUAAUCCUUCUCAAAAGCAUCGAUUUUCUGAUACCCCAUAUUUAAC